GGGGGCCUGCGGAGGGAUCAUUG
rnacentral:rRNA from 2 species